rnacentral:rRNA from 1 species
UACGAAGGGGGCUAGCGUUGCUCGGAAUCACUGGGCGUAAAGGGUGCGUAGGCGGGUCUUUAAGUCAGGGGUGAAAUCCUGGAGCUCAACUCCAGAACUGCCUUUGAUACUGAAGAUCUUGAGUUCGGGAGAGGUGAGUGGAACUGCGAGUGUAGAGGUGAAAUUCGUAGAUAUUCGCAAGAACACCGAUGGCGAAGGCAGCCCCCUGG